CCAAGCUCUAAGCACUCCACAGUGACUCCUUCAGCUACCUUCAUGGUCAUUGGGACAAACUGUUCUCAUCUACCUAUUCUGCUGGGAGAAAUCUUCAUAUGCUUCAGCCCUUCAGGUAUUUGAAGACAAUCACAGAACUACAAAGUUGCAAGAAUUCUUGGUGAUUAUCUAAUCCAACACAUAUAUGAAUGGGAACCUCUAUGAUGAUGCUGAUGGUAACUGCCAUUUAAAUAAUACUUUAAAAUUUGCAAAGUGUUUUAUCUAUGUUGUAUUAUUUCAUUAAAAUCCCUGUGAGGCUUAUGUUUUUUAUAUCCCUAUUUUACAGAUUAAGAAACUUGUCCUAAGUAACUCAGCUCAGAUUAGGCUCUUAGGGUCAGGGUUUCCCGACUUCAAAUCAGCAUUCUACUAAUUGUGCCACCUAGCUGUCUUAUAUUGACAAAUAACCAUUUACCUGUCACUUAAAACCCCUCAGUGACUGGGAACUCAUUGCCCCCAAAAGCCAUCCAUUCCAUUUUUGGACCACUCUAAUUGAAUUAAAAUUUGUGCUAACAUAAACUGAAAUUUUAUAUAAGGGAGCAAGUGUUCUUUCUUAAGUGCAUCUUGCUUGCAGGUGCUAAUAGCACUAAUCUACUGACAUCUUAUACACUAAAUAUUUAAUUUCUCAACCUGUAGGUCACUACUUGUUUUACUUCAUUUCUCUGAGCUUCAUCUCUUAUAGUCCCUGCAUCACUGCCACAUAAUUUCUUGCCUACUAGACCUACGGCAUGAACAGUUAACUUUUCAAGGCUGCGGUUGUCUCAUCUGCAAAAUGAGAAGCUUACAUCAGAUGACUUCUUAGGUGCCUUCCAACUCUAAUUAUAUGAUUGUUCUAAAUCUACCAGAUACUUCCUGUCUCAACCAAUUCCUGAUUUUGACUCCUCUUGGCCAGACUAAUCUUGCUGCCACCUAUACGCUAUCAUGGUAACUCAUCACAUGCACAAUGGAGAGUGGGGGACCCAAUGUUACCUGGUUAACUCAAGAAGUUCUGUCACUGGGGUGGAAGAGAAAUUGCUAACUACUCAACUAAUACAGAAUAGGAAAAGGAAGGAAAACAGAAUAUUUAGGUGAAGGUCAAAUUACAUGAGUGUGCCACGUACAUGGAAAAUCUAGGCCCAAGGCUGAACCUUUCAUUGUUGUUAAUUGGUAGAGUAUCCCCUUUUCAAGUCCCAAAUCAAUGUGUGGUCCUACUCAGAAAGGAAUAUUGAAUAAAAUGUUGUCAC